UUGAAGCCCACACAAGUGGUUCUAUAAAUAGAACCCCUUGGGUAGAAGCAUUGUCACUCCAAUCCACUCAGACAAAAAUUCAAGUAGAGACUUGGAAUUUUGUUUCCCUCUUUCUCUCACUCAAAGCCUUCAUUCAUAACAGCUAGCACUGCGAUUGAAGGAAUCCGUUCGUGCGGACUGAGUAGAGACGUUGUCAUCGUUCAACGUUCG
rnacentral:lncRNA from 1 species